rnacentral:sRNA from 1 species
GGAGAGGAGUGGGAUGACCUCGGUGGGCCUGGCCGAUGGCACUCCUAUCGACAUGGACCACCCUUAUGUCUUCAGUGAUAUGACCUCCUACUUCACCCUGCUGGUUGGCAUCUACUUCCCCUCAGUCACAGGGAUCAUGGCUGGUUCUAACCGCUCUGGGGACCUGAGGGAUGCCCAGAAGUCAAUCCCCACUGGCACCAUCCUGGCCAUCGCCACCACCUCUGCUGUCUGUAUCCUGCACAGCUGUGCUGGGACCACCCUCGGGGGAGGGCAAGAGGGAGGGCAGCUGAACUUGCUGCCUUACCUGCUGGUGCAGGAGGGGUGGGGAGGGGGAGGACUGAACCGUGGGGAUUCUCCUUUAUC